rnacentral:rRNA from 1 species
GACGAGCGCUGGCGGCGUGCUUAACACAUGCCAGUCGAACGGAAAGGCCCUGCUUUUGUGGGGUGCUCGAGUGGCGAACGGGUGAGUAACACGUGAGUAACCUGCCCUUGACUUUGGGAUAACUUCAGGAAGCUGGGGCUAAUACCGGAUAGGAGCUCCUGCUGCAUGGUGGGGGUUGGAAAGUUUCGGCGGUUGGGGAUGGACUCGCGGCUUAUCAGCUUGUUGGUGGGGUAGUGGCUUACCAAGGCUUUGACGGGUAGCCGGCCUGAGAGGGUGACCGGCCACAUUGGGACUGAGAUACGGCCCAGACUCCUACGGGAGGCAGCAGUGGGGAAUAUUGCACAAUGGGCGGAAGCCUGAUGCAGCAACGCCGCGUGCGGGAUGACGGCCUUCGGGUUGUAAACCGCUUUCGCCUGUGACGAAGCGUGAGUGACGGUAAUGGGUAAAGAAGCACCGGCUAACUACGUG